rnacentral:rRNA from 1 species
UCAAGUUAUUAAGGGUGCAGGGCGGAUGCCUUGGCACUAGGAGCCGAUGAAGGACGUGAUAAGCUGCGAUAAGCUUCGGGGAGUUGCACGUAAACUUUGAUCCGAAGAUUUCCGAAUGAGGAAACUCACUUAGAGUAAUGUCUAAGUAUCAUUAAGUGAAUACAUAGCUUAAUGAGGGGAACUCAGGGAACUGAAACAUCUAAGUACCUGAAGGAAGAGAAAGAAAUUCGAUUCCGUAAGUAGCGGCGAGCGAACGCGGAUUAGCCCAAACCAAUAAAGUUUUCUUUAUUGGGGUUGCGGACAUAUCAUAACGAAGAGGUAUCGUAAUUGAAGAGGUUUGGAAAGACCCACCACAGAAGGUAAUAGUCCUGUAUGUUAAACGAAAAGACUUUAGAUAUGAUCCAGAGUACCACGGGACACGUGAAACCCUGUGGGAAGCAGGAGGGACCACCCUCCAAGGCUAAAUACUACCUAGUGACCGAUAGCGUAUAGUACCGUGAGGGAAAGGUGAAAAGAACCCCGGGAGGGGAGUGAAAUAGAACCUGAAACCCUGCACUUACAAGCUGUGGAAGCACAUUUCUUGUGUGACCGCGUACUUUUUGUAGAACGGGCCAACGAGUUACGUUAAGUAGCAAGGUUAAGCACUUAAGGUGCGGAGCCGUAGCGAAAGCGAGUUUUAACUGAGCGUUCAGUUACUUGACGUAGACCCGAAACCGGGCGACCUACCCAUGAGCAGGAUGAAGCGAAAGUAAAAUUUCGUGGAGGUCCGAACCCACGAGCGUUGAAAAGCUCGGGGAUGACUUGUGGGUAGCGGUGAAAUUCCAAUCGAGCCCGGAGAUAGCUGGUUCUCCCCGAAAUAGCUUUAGGGCUAGCCUCAAGGUGAGAGAUACGGAGGUAGAGCACUGAAUGUCCUAGGGGGUAUUGCACCUACCGAAGACUAUCAAACUCCGAAUGCCGUCAUCUUAUACUUGGGAGUCAGACUGUGGGUGAUAAGAUUCAUAGUCGAAAGGGCAACAGCCCAGAUCGUCAGCUAAGGUCCCUAAAUGUAAGUUAAGUGGUAAAGGAUGUGGGAUUGCACAGACAACCAGGAUGUUGGCUUAGAAGCAGCCACUCAUUCAAAGAGUGCGUAAUAGCUCACUGGUCGAGUGAUCCUGCGCCGAAGAUUUCCGGGGCUAAAACUUACUACCGAAGCUACGGCAUCAGUAAUGAUGGGUAGGGGAGCUUCCCAUACGGGUUGAAGCAUGACCGUAAGGACAUGUGGACAGUAUGGGAGUGAGAAUGUUGGCAUGAGUAGCGAGAUGUGGGUGAGAAUCCCACAGGCCGUAAACCCAAGGUUUCCAGGGGAAGGUUCGUCCGCCCUGGGUUAGUCGGGACCUAAGCUGAGGCCGAAAGGCGUAGGUGAUGGACAACAGGUUGAUAUUCCUGUACUACCGAUAACCGUUUGAGAGAAGGGAUGACACAGUAGGAUAAGCUAAGCACACUGUUGGUUAUGUGUGCCCAAGCAUUGAGGCAGUCAAAGUAGGCAAAUCCGCUUUGAUAAUGCUGGGAUGUGAUGGGGAGCGAAAUUUAGUAGCGAAGUAGCUGAUUUCACACUGUCAAGAAAAGUCUCUAUCGAGGUUAAAGGUACCCGUACCGCAAACCGACACAGGUGGGUGAGGAGAGUAUCCUAAGGCCAGCGAGAGAACUGUUGUUAAGGAACUCAGCAAAAUGACCCCGUAACUUAGGGAUAAGGGGUGCCACCAUCAGGUGGCCGCAGAGAAUAGGCCCAAGCGACUGUUUACCAAAAACAUAGGUUUCUGCUAAGUCGCAAGACGAUGUAUAGGAGCUGACGCCUGCCCGGUGCUGGAAGGUUAAGGGGAUCUGUUAGAGCAAUCGAAGCAGUGAACUUAAGCCCCAGUAAACGGCGGCCGUAACUAUAACGGUCCUAAGGUAGCGAAAUUCCUUGUCGGGUAAGUUCCGACCCGCACGAAAGGCGUAACGAUUUGGGCACUGUCUCAACAACAGACUCGGUGAAAUUGUAAUUCCGGUGAAGAUGCCGGAUACCUGCGACAGGACGGAAAGACCCCAUGGAGCUUUACUGUAGCUUGACAUUGGGUCUUGGUACUACAUGUACAGGAUAGGUGGGAGGCUUUGAAACCAGGACGCCAGUUUUGGCGGAGCCAUCCUUGGGAUACCACCCUUGUAGUACUGGGACUCUAACCAUAGGCCAUGAAUCUGGUCUUGGGACACUGUCAGGUGGGCAGUUUGACUGGGGCGGUCGCCUCCCAAAAGGUAACGGAGGCGCUCAAAGGUUCUCUCAGUACGGUCGGAAAUCGUACGUAGAGUGUAAAGGCAAAAGAGAGCUUGAUUGCAAGACAUACAGGUCGAGCAAGGAUGAAAAUCGGACUUAGUGAUCCGGUGGUUCUGCGUGGAAGGGCCAUCGCUCAACGGAUAAAAGCUACCCUGGGGAUAACAGGCUUAUCUCCCCCAAGAGUCCACAUCGACGGGGAGGUUUGGCACCUCGAUGUCGGCUCAUCACAUCCUGGGGCUGUAGUAGGUCCCAAGGGUUGGGCUGUUCGCCCAUUAAAGUGGUACGCGAGCUGGGUUCAGAACGUCGUGAGACAGUUCGGUCCCUAUCCGUCGCAGGCGUAGGAAAUUUGAGAAGACCUGUCCUUAGUACGAGAGGACCGGGAUGGACGUACCUCUGGUGUACCAGUUGUCCUGCCAAGGGCAUGGCUGGGUAGCUAUGUACGGAAUGGAUAAGCGCUGAAAGCAUCUAAGCGCGAAGCCAACUUCAAGAUAAGAUUUCCCACCGCAAGGGUAAGACCCCAGAAAGACUAUCUGGUUGAUAGGUCGAAGGUGUAAGUGCAGCAAUGUAUUUAGCUUAUCGAUACUAAUAGGUCGAGGACUUGACCAA